GAUGAACGCCGGCGGCGUGCCUAAUACAUGCAAGUCGAGCGAACGGACGAGAAGCUUGCUUCUCUGAUGUUAGCGGCGGACGGGUGUGUAACACGUGGAUAACCUACCUAUAAGACUGGGAUAACUUCGGGAAACCGUAGCUAAUACCGGAUAAUAUUUUGAACCGCAUGGUUCAAAAGUGAAAGACGGUCUUGCUGUCACUUAUAGAUGGAUCCGCGCUGCAUUAGCUAGUUGGUAAGGUAACGGCUUACCAAGGCAACGAUGCAUAGCCGACCUGAGAGGGUGAUCGGCCACACUGGAACUGAGACACGGUCCAGACUCCUACGGGAGGCAGCAGUAGGGAAUCUUCCGCAAUGGGCGAAAGCCUGACGGAGCAACGCCGCGUGAGUGAUGAAGGUCUUCGGAUCGUAAAACUCUGUUAUUAGGGAAGAACAUAUGUGUAAGUAACUGUGCACAUCUUGACGGUACCUAAUCAGAAAGCCACGGCUAACUACGUG
rnacentral:rRNA from 1 species